rnacentral:rRNA from 1 species
UACGUAGGGUGCAAGCGUUGUCCGGAAUUAUUGGGCGUAAAGAGCUCGUAGGCGGUCUGUCGCGUCGGCUGUGAAAACCCGGGGCUCAACCCCGGGCCUGCAGUCGAUACGGGCAGACUAGAGUGCGGUAGGGGAGACUGGAAUUCCUGGUGUAGCGGUGAAAUGCGCAGAUAUCAGGAGGAACACCGAUUGCGAAGGCAGCUCGCUGGGACGUAACUGACGCUGAGACGCGAAAGCGUGGGGAGCAAACAGG